AACGAACGCUGGCGGCAUGCCUAACACAUGCAAGUCGAACGAAACCGUCGGGUCUAGUGGCGCACGGCGGCGUAACGCGUGGGAACCUGCCCUUAGGUUCGGAAUAACUCCCCGAGGGGGGUGCUAAUACCGGAUAGUGUCUUCGGACCAAAGAUUUAUCGCCUUUGGUUGGGCGUCGUUGGGUUUGCUUGUUGGUAGGGUAAAAGCCUACCAAGGCGACGAUUCAUAGCUGGGUUGAGAGGAUGACCAGCCACACUGGGACUGAGACACGGCCCAGACUCCUACGCGAGGGAGCAGUGGGGAAUAUUGGACAAUGGGCGAAAGCCUGAUACAGCCAUGCCGCGUGAGUGAUGAAGGCCUUAGGGUUGUAAAGCUCUUUUACCCGGGAUGAUAAUGACAGUACCGGGAGAAUAAGCGCCGGCUAACUCCGUG
rnacentral:rRNA from 1 species